rnacentral:lncRNA from 10 species
UGAUCUGCCCACCUUGGUCUCCCAAAGUGCUGGGAUUACAGGCGUGAGCCACUGCGCCUGGCCCCCUCCUGGACUUUUAGGAUGUGACUUCCUUCCCAUCCAGCCUUUCUGUCUGAGCACUACCCACCCAGCUAGACUGACUUGGUAACUGGAUCUAAGAAGGAGGCGAUAUUGCUGUUUUCGAGGUCGAUGGGCCAGGGGCCUGGGCUAAGGCACUUAGACAAGCCCCUGCCCUGCCCACCUGGUCACCACCAUUCACAGUGAUCACUCAUCUGUGGCAAGAGGUGGGCAGCGGAGGAAGCUGACUAGAGAUACCUGAUGUAUAACUUUUUGGAGGUUUUUACAAAAGCAGAUACAGUGGCCAGUGGCAUCAAAGAAAUGGAAUGAGAACUUGAGCCCAGGCACCCGGAGCAGGUAUUUUCUGAGCCCUCAGCUCCCUCUACAGGCCUUUCCUGACCACAGCCAGUCCAUCUGGGGAGCCAUGUCUCAGCUCUGGCUUGGGUACAGCAGGGAGGGCUCCAGAGGCCCCUGCUGAGCAGGGUUGAUCCUAACACUAUUCCUCUGUGGCCUAUAUUGUCUUUUCUCUUUUACCUGUUAAUCAUGUUCUCUUUUGCAGCAAGCAAAUUCCUGAAUUUUCGCUCCCUUCUAGAAGCUCAAGUGAGGGUCUUUACCAGAGACAUACCCAGAGAUUUGCUGUAACGUCUUCAGGGGAAUCCAGAAUUCACUUACAGAGGCUAUUUCUGCCAAGUGGCUUUCCCUGGAGCAGCCCAGAGCUCUCUUUCAAUCCUAAGGGGAUGUCUGUCUCACUAAUUUCCAUCAAGAAAUCUGUUUUCUUGGACAGGCACAGUGGAAUCGUAUUUGGAUUACUCAUCUCUCCGGCCACUUUACUUACAAAAAACUAAACUAAGAAGUAAAUAAGCCAGAACCCCUCCCUACUCAUCCCCUUUGGUCUCCCCAAGAAGAGGAGGAUUCUAAGAAAGGAGCUGGAGAGACAGUGGGGUCUUCGGGGGUUCCCUGAGACGCCUCUUCCUGCCCUUGUUCCAGCUUUGGAAUUGGAAGGAGGGAACCUGUGUCUGAAGUGAUUGACAGGUGGGGACAGGAGUGUGGAUUCUGGCCUGUGCUUGACACUCAAACCCAAGCUACGGCAAGGGUUAGCAGCCCAUGGAGGGAGAGGCCAGGAGGCCCGGGGAGACUGCUGUCCCUG